rnacentral:rRNA from 1 species
CCUACGGGAGGCUGCAGUAGGGAAUCUUCCACAAUGGGCGAAAGCCUGAUGGAGCAACGCCGCGUGGGUGAAGAAGGUCUUCGGAUCGUAAAACUCUGUUGUUAGAGAAGAAAGUUCGUGAGAGUAACUGUUCACGUUUCGACGGUAUCUAACCAGACAGCCACGGCUCACUACGUGCCAGCAGCCGCGGUAAUACGUCGGUGGCAAGCGUUAUCCGGAUUUAUUGGGCGUAAAGGGAACGCAGGCGGUCUGUUAAGUCUGAUGUGAAAGCCUUCGGCUUAACCGGAGUAGUGCAUUGGAAACUGGGAGACUUGAGUGCAGAAGAGGAGAGUGGAACUCCAGGUGUAGCGGUGAAAUGCGUAGAUAUAUGGAAGAACACCAGUGGCGAAGGCGGCUCGCUGGACUGUAACUGACGCUGAGGUUCGAAAGCGUGGGUAGCAAACAGGAUUAGAUACCCUUGUAGUC